AUGCGCUGUGGCCGUGGCAGUUCCGCAGAGGACCAGCUAGGGUCCAAACCUUCCCGCCUGACACCCGGGAGGAGCUAACCGGCUCCAGCACACAGAACUGAGGUUUGGAGCUCCUGCUCCCUACUCUCCUGUGACAAGGUGGUGUCCAGGACAAGAGCUGAGAGACUGACCUGCAGCUGGGGAGGAGUCCUCCUCUAAAGAACAGGACUACCAGGGCCCUGGUGGACAGCAAGCCUGGGACAACUCAAGAUCCUCAUGUGGGUUCAGUUCCUGAGCAGGAGAGUGGGCUGCAGACUGAUUGUCCCCCUCCUUGGUCCUGCUGAAGUCACACAGACUUCAGGACCCCUUCCUCUGGGGUCCUGACCCCAGUGGUCCUUAUGAGGACCCAUCGUGCCUUAUGAGGCCUGUGCUGGCUCCAACUGGACACUGACUUUGGAGGUGGCAAAUACUGCUGGUGGGGAGAAGGUGGAGCAGGCGACCAGGCCCCCUGGAGUGCAGUAGUGGUUGGACAGGGCAGCUGUGGUGGCUUUGAGGUUGGCCCUGCAGGCUGAGUCGGGCUCUGCCCCUGCUGUGCUCUCAGUGGGACACUAAACCUUGGCUGCCUUUCUGGCCAGUUAAAUAAACCUGGAACUGGUAAAGUUUCAUAAUCAAUGUAAA